UAAAGAUUUAAAUAAAACUCUCCACAUUACAAAGCAGCGGUGGCAUGGAUCGCUAGACCAAUGUCGGUAGAAAAU